rnacentral:lncRNA from 1 species
UUUUUCUGUCAUAUUGAUUUUUCUUUCGAUUUUUUUGUCUUGCCAUCAAUAGAUUCCAUGUCUUUCUGUAAAAGUUACAAGAAAACAGUUAAUAAAGAACACAAUUACUGUCCAUCACAUUUGUGUUUAGUGCGAUAGGUGUCUAUCGCACCAGAGCAUAGCCCAUAGGUGCAAUAGCCAUCAAUCGAUAAGCAUCUAAACAAAGGCACGCAUGAUGUCUAUCGCACCACAUGAAUUUAUACACCAACCCACACAAAACAACCACACUCGAACGACCAAAUCUAAUUUAUAUUCAUUAUAAACUUAUUAUUAAAAAAAAACACCGGUGCAACAUUUUUUCAAACAAAAAAAAGGCAACCUAGAACCUUAAAAGAAGAAACCCAAUAAUUUUUUGUGGCAUUUCAUCAACAUUGUGUGUGCAUUAUAUUUCUACACUAUAUCAUUAACAAAUCGUUUUCUCCAUAUACAAAUCUAAUAACUUUGAUAAUUAUAAGAUUAAGUUUAAAGCUGAGUAACCUUGAUGAGAAGAGCGAAAGUGAGAGUCGGGAGUAAGAGCAAGAGUGAGAGCAAGGUAGAGCGUGAGUGUGAGUUUGGACCAAGAGCAAGAGCAACAGUAAGAGUAGAAGCAUGAACGGGAGUGUGAGCAAGAGCAGGAGAGUGAGAAAGAGCAAGAGCAAGGCAAAGUGUGGGCGAUCGAGAGGGAGAGAGGAGGCUUUUGUUUUAUGACCCAAAGGGAGAGAGAAGACGAUUUUGUGGUUAUGAU